rnacentral:rRNA from 2 species
GUUAUAUGGUCAAGCGAUUAAGCGCAUUCGGUGGAUGCCUAGGCGGCAACAGGCGAUGAAGGACGUAGCAGCCUGCGAUAAGCCUCGGGGAGCUGGCAAACAAGCUUUGAUCCGGGGAUGUCCGAAUGGGGAAACCCGGCCUGCAUCAGCAGGUCAUCGUCAUCUGAAUACAUAGGGUGGCGAAGCGAACCCGGGGAACUGAAACAUCUAAGUACCCGGAGGAAAAGAAAUCAACCGAGAUUCCGCUAGUAGCGGCGAGCGAACGCGGAAGAGCCAGCACUCUUUAGCAUACGGUUUAGUGAAACGGUCUGGAAAGUCCGGCCAUAGAAGGUGAUAGCCCUGUAUACGAAAGGCCGUAUGUGGAACUAGGUGUGCGAUAAGUAGGGCGGGACACGUGUUAUCCUGUCUGAAGAUGGGGGGACCAUCCUCCAAGGCUAAAUACUCGUUGCCGACCGAUAGCGAACCAGUACCGUGAGGGAAAGGUGAAAAGAACCCCUGUGAGGGGAGUGAAAUAGAACCUGAAACCGNNGCAGUGGGAGCCCCUUCGGGGGUGACUGCGUACCUUUUGUAUAAUGGGUCAGCGACUUACUUCUCAGUGGCAAGCUUAACCGUUUAGGGGAGGCGUAGGGAAACCGAGUCUUAAUAGGGCGAUUCAGUCGCUGGGAGUAGACCCGAAACCGGGCGAUCUAUCCAUGGCCAGGGUGAAGGUAGGGUAAUACCUGCUGGAGGCCCGAACCGGGUAAUGUUGAAAAAUUAUCGGAUGAGCUGUGGAUAGGAGUGAAAGGCUAAUCAAGCCCGGAGAUAGCUGGUUCUCCUCGAAAGCUAUUUAGGUAGCGCCUCGUGUCUCACUCUCGGGGGUAGAGCACUGUUUCGGCUAG